rnacentral:rRNA from 1 species
AUUGAACGCUGGCGGCAUGCUUUACACAUGCAAGUCGAACGGCAGCACGGACUUCGGUCUGGUGGCGAGUGGCGAACGGGUGAGUAAUACAUCGGAACGUGCCCAGUUGUGGGGGAUAACUACUCGAAAGAGUAGCUAAUACCGCAUGAGAACUGAGGUUGAAAGCAGGGGAUCGUAAGACCUUGCGCAACUGGAGCGGCCGAUGGCAGAUUAGGUAGUUGGUGGGAUAAAAGCUUACCAAGCCGACGAUCUGUAGCUGGUCUGAGAGGACGACCAGGCACACUGGGACUGAGACACGGCCCAGACUCCUACGGGAGGCAGCAGUGGGGAAUUUUGGACAAGGGGCGAAAGCCUGAUCCAGCAAUGCCGCGUGCAGGAUGAAGGCCUUCGGGUUGUAGACUGCUUUUGUACGGAACGAAAAGCUUCGGGCUAAUACCCUGGAGUCAUGACGGUACCGUAAGAAUAAGCACCGGCUAACUACGUGCCAGCCGCCGCAGUAACAC